GAUGAAGAACGUAGCGAAAUGCGAUAAGUAAUGUGAAUUGCAGAAUUCAGUGAAUCAUCGAAUCUUUGAACGCACCUUGCGCCCCUUGGCAUUCCGAGGGGCACGCCUGUUUGAGUGUCGUGAACUCCUCCACCCUCCACCUUUUUCGGAAGGCGUUGGGCUGGGAUUUGGGAGCUUGCGGGUCCCUGGCCGAUCCGCUCUCCUUGAAUACAUUAGUGAAGCCCUUGCGGCCUUGGUGUGAUAGUCAUCUACGCCUCGGUUUAGCGAGCAUACGGGAAUCGCUUCCAACCGUCUCGCAAGAGACAAUCACUUCAAACUUGACCUCAAAUCAGGCGGGACUACCCGCUGAACUUAAGCAUAUCAAUAAGCGGAGGA
rnacentral:misc_RNA from 1 species